rnacentral:tRNA from 1 species
AAGAAUUUAAGUUAAUAAAACUAUUGACCUUCAAAGUCAAAAUUAGAAAAAAUUCUAAUUCUUA